GACGUAGGGCGCGAGCGUUGUCCGGAAUUAUUGGGCGUAAAGCGCGUGUAGGCGGCUUUGCAAGUCGGGUGUGAAAGCCCUCAGCUCAACUGAGGAAGUGCGCCCGAAACUGCAGAGCUUGAGUGCCGGAGAGGGUGGCGGAAUUCCCCAAGUAGAGGUGAAAUUCGUAGAUAUGGGGAGGAACACCGGUGGCGAAGGCGGCCACCUGGACGGUAACUGACGCUGAGACGCGAAAGCGUGGGGAGCAAACAGG
rnacentral:rRNA from 1 species